UACGAGGGGGCAAGCGUUGUUCGGAAUUAUUGGGCGUAAAGGGCGCGUAGGCGGUGCGGUAAGUCACCUGUGAAAUCUCUGGGCUCAACUCAGAGUCUGCAGGCGAAACUGCCGUGCUGGAGUAUGGGAGAGGUGCGUGGAAUUCCCGGUGUAGCAGUGAAAUGCGUAGAUAUCGGGAGGAACACCUGUGGCGAAAGCGGCGCACUGGACCAUAACUGACGCUGAGGCGCGAAAGCCUAGGGGAGCAAACAGG
rnacentral:rRNA from 1 species